AAGUCGUAACAAGGUUUCCGUAGGUGAACCUGCGGAAGGAUCAUUAUCGAGUUUUUGAAGUGGGGUUGUCGUUUCUUGCGCUGGCAUUGCAGGUGCGCGGCGACGGCGGCUCCGCUUUUAUCCACUCAACAAACCCCCCUGUGCACUUUGAAGCGAGGUCUUUUGUUGAAGCUGGCGUCAGCCGGCUUUUGUAAUUGACUAAGCUUUAUUAUUAUACAAACCCCAUCUAUUGUCUUGUAGAAUGUAAUGCCUCAUGAGUGGGCGAAAUGGUAAUACAACUUUCAACAACGGAUCUCUUGGCUCUC
rnacentral:misc_RNA from 1 species